ACCCCCUUAGUGGGAGAGUUGCCAUCGGAUCUCAUAAGAACUCUAGAGUUAAGUGUGCUUGGGUGGGAGCAGUCCCUAGAUGGGUGACCUCUCUGGGAAGUCCCCGGGUGGGAGCAGUC